rnacentral:lncRNA from 1 species
AUGAUGAAGAUGAUGAAGAUGAUGAUGAUGACGACGAUGAGGAUGGUGCUUAUCACAAGGGCUCUGUGUGCUCAUAUUGUGAAUUCUGUGAGCACUGCGGCAACUGUGAUAAAUGUCCGUGUGAAGACGGAGACAAAUCUGAACACUGUGAUGACUGCAAGAUGUGCAGUUUCUGCCAUGUGUGUCCUGUUUGCCAAACUCUUUGCCAGCCUGGUGAGUGAAAGCAAAAAAACACUUUGUUAAAGGAUCAAAUUAGAAAAGGAAAGUAUUUUUGUUGCUCAUUUUGACUGCUCCUGUAUAUAACAUGAUGCAUUCAACUUGGGACUUGACACGGCAGCAAACAGUUGUGAUUUUGUUGAGCAGUAGCCGGGCUCCUCCAUAGAGAGGGAGUAGCAAACCGAUUGGCAGUAGCACAGCAUGAGGAUGGGGUGUAAUGAUUUGACCAUGUCCUGGUUGUAAGUUGGGCCAGAGUCAUUCACAGCAAAGUAGGCAAGUACCAGUGACUUAAAUCAGAUUCAAGCAGCUACUGAGACCUGUGAAGGGGGCCAACAGUUAAUCUGGUUAUGUAUUAUACCAUAUGUAGACUAAUCACAAUAUAACUUUGUUUUUAAAUCCCGAAUAUAGGAAAUAGGACUUGAUCAGUUCAAUCAACGGCUAUACUAAGACAGUAGAGUAACAAAAAUUUAAGACAACAAUUCUGCCUCUGAUGAAAAAUGUUGGGUUUUGCUGUUUGAUGACAGAGGCUCCAGCUCACACUUACUCUAUCUUUGUUCUUAAGGAGGUUUUCUUGAUGAAGUGACUGGAUCCAUCUACAAGUAAGUCAUAUUUACACUGAACUGAAACCGGUUCAAGGAUUUAUGAACUACAGUCUGUAACCUCUGUUUGUCUCUCCAUCCACAGGACUGUAGCUGAUGUCUUUGAUGAUGAAGAUGAUGACAACUAAAUCCAACCAUAUGUUGCCACCAUGUGGCCAAACCAAUAUGUUUUACCUUCGCUUCUGAUUUUCAUUGUUAUCUUUGUCAUUUUCCUUGAGAACAUUAAAUCAAUAACUAAGUUAAUAAUAACUAAAUAUAUUUGUGUACUGUUAUUAACUGACAAGUCUAACUUGUACUUUUAAGGAAGAUUAAAUAUUUGGAGUCAUAUUUGGGAUAUGUUAAAUAAAAAAGAGGGGACAAUUUCAUUAAUUGAUUUAUUGAUUUUUAAAUGGUCACUACUUUGAAUGUAUGAAAUGCUUCAAUGAAAGAAAAUGAAAGAAUAAUUUCCUGGAUUCUACAUUAAGAUUCUACAUUAAGAUUCUACAUUAAGAUUCUACAUUAAGAUUCUACAUUAAGCCAAUAUGCUUCUGAAGUCAGAAAACCAUUUUGAGCGGCACAGUAAAAAAUAGACUUACUCUUGGACAUGAGUAAGACAUUUGUCAUGAAUUUGAUGACUUUACCUGGACAUUAGCCUUUAGACUUGGAAUGAUUUAAUUUCAUCCCCUUCCCCUGCUGGAAUAAACAGCGUAGCAAAAUUUUAAUUUAAAAUUAAACCAUGCCGUUCAAUGCUGGUUAGUGCUGGGUACCCAGGAGAGCUGUGCUGGUAGAUAUGGUUAAGGAUACUGAGCUACGAGCAUGGUCUUGCUGGCGGAGCACAUACAUUUGUUAUUUAUGUGCAUUGUGUGUCAAGGAUGUUUAAUAGAAGAACCAGAUGGCUGUAAUUUUUUUAAAAUCUCAAUCUCAAUAUCAAUCAAAAACAAGAAUACAUUCAUUAGUCAUUUAUUUACAAAUAUUUAAUUGGAACUGUACAUUUUUUAAAAGGUAAUUUCAAAAACUGCAUUAAUGUGUAAUACAAUAUAGCACAAAUUCAAACAGUCAAAGUUUUGUAAUGAAUGAACAUGACUAUUUGUCUAUUUCAUCAAACUGAACAUGACAUAAAAAAACUGAGCAUAUAUAACACUUCCACAUUCUAAUGGAAAAAGACUUGUCAGUGUUAAAAUAUGACGUUAUAUCAAGA